UUUAAUUAAGUUGCAGGGAUAUCAAUCUGUUUCUUCAUGUAUGUACAAGCUUCAUAUGCAUAUUUCACGUAUCGCAAAUCACUUGUUUGUCUCGCAUAAAUCCAGCGUGAUUCGCACGACCACUUCUGACAAUAAUUUCUUGUUUUCAUUCUACAAAAUCUUGAAAAAAAAAUGUACUUAUAAAUCGUACUCCUCUUUCCAUAACCAUAAAAACGUUAAAAAUCAUUUAAUUAUGAUCGCGCUAUCGAGAUUGUUUCUCGAUUUAUCACGGCGAUAUAGACAUCAUCCUAUUUUUUUGCAUCGUAAAUUUUCGAAAAACCUUCCGACUGACUAUAGAAAAGUCCAGAGGAUCAAGGAGAAGAGUGCGAAAAAAUUGACGAGGAAAGAAAAAGAUAAAAAUAUGCAAAAAGAUAAUGAGGCUAACAUCAGAGUAUGCAUCAUCGGUGGGGGAGUGACACCUCUUUACACCGCGAUUCUUUUGAAGCAAUAUAAGAUUAUCAAAAGCAUACGUCUGGUGGAUACAAGGGACUCCUCAUUAGAGGCUUUGACAGAUUUGUCACAGCUGGAAACCAGCCCUCGUAUAGAUUACUUUCGAGAAAAGGAUAUAAAGCAGGCUCUCAGAGAAGCGAACAUAGUUGCGCUCAUGGACGAGACUGAUGUCACCGCGGUAAGUAACACGAUCGCCCAGGAGCAAUUCAAAUUGUCGGCGAAUUAUGUGCGUCAGAUGACGGAUCGGAUACUGUGCUUCUGCCCGGACGCCCUCGUGGCCGUGUUCGCGCGCCCUGUCACCGCUACGCUCGCGAUGGUCUCCGAGAUAUUUCGGUGUUCCGGUUGGUGGAAUCCGGACCGGAUCGUCGGCUCAAUCGCGACGUACAGUGGACGAAUCGAAAAGAUGGUGGCGGCAAUCCUCGACUUGGAGCGUGCGAGUCUCUCGGUGCCGCUGACCGGCGGCGCCGACGCGCAAACCGUCGUGCCGUUACUGUCGCGUGCUCUUCCCUUCAAUCAAUUCACAAACACACAACGUAAGACCCUACUGCAAUCUCUUCGGGCCAGUGACGAAGAGGCAAAGACAGCGUUCGAUGAAGGUCCAUCGUUAUCGUCCGGAACAGCUGCUGCCAAGUUGAUAAUCAACCUCGCUGCCGGUCUAUCCGGGUGCAACCACGUCAUCAUCUGCGCCUACGUACGAUCGGACGUGCUACCGGUCUGCCGAUUUUUCACCAGCGAACUAGAGCUAGGCCCGGAAGGUAUCAAGCGAAAUUUUGGCUUGCCGAAAAUCUCGGCUGCGGAGUUACUCAUGAUCGAGCAAGCGAUACCUCUCAUUAACGAGCACGUCGACAUGGCGGUUACCGCAGUCCAGAUGGAGAGGACGCGCACUAGGACGCGAUGACGGACUCGAGACUGUAGUUCAGAAAAUCUUGCAGAAUUGAAAUCUUAUGCGAGUAUCUCGGGGUGUUUAUGGUUUUAUUGCGACAGCUGUAUUCAACUUCAUAUCAUGCGCUUCGUCGUAUACUCAGCUUCCAUCCUCUCGACGUCAUUACUACGAUAUUUGAUGAUACAUAUCCCUGGUCCGUGAUUGCAAUCAUCUCUGCGAAUUUGGCGCAUUCCGAAACUUAUCUCAUAGGGAAAAGUUUUAUUUGCAGUAUCCAGCUAUGACAAUCCUUGGGUGUGUUCAAGAAUUAUGUCUAGAUAACUCCGAGUAUACACUUUUCAUAUAAUAUACGUGAGUGUAGUCUAGAAUUAUAUCUGAACGUAAUUCCUGAACACACCCCUCGGUAGCGUUU